GCCCAAAGCCUCUAGCAACACGCACCCCUGUAAUUAUCCCUGCUCCCGCCUACCCGCCGUUGUAAAUCCCUUCCGUGUUUAGAGCGGGAUUAUGGUGAAACGUGUAUGAUAAAUAUUUUUCUCAUGCAGCUUCGAAGUCACGUCCGGGAGGAGAGCGGGAGCAGGGGUGACAGAGGUUUGUGGAGCGGUCCGUGUGCCGGCGCAGGGCGCGAGGGGCGCGUGGCCCCGCCCGGCCGCGCCUCCGUCCUCCCCCUCAGCACCCUCAGGGACGGGGCCGUCACCCUCCCGAGCCGGCGUGAGGGGAAGCCCGGCCCCCUCCCCUGACGGCUGCCCCUCAUCGGGCAUUUUGGUCAUUUUGCCUUUAGCCCACGUUAAUUUUUGAGUGCUCCUACCCUCGAGGAGGUGGUUUAUGAUCAUUGCUGUGCGUGGGUUUCCGAAGGGUGGAGCUGUUGUCCUGAACGUCACCCAUCACGCAGCACCAACUCGCACACUGAGGCGAGCUCCUGUGGUCACCCUGCUGCAUGGGGCACAGCCCUGACGGAGAAUACUUUUCCUGAGUCAGCCAUCUGGGGAGAGUUUUGAGCUGUAAAUGGGCAUCUUUCACCGAGAAAGGAGCUCCUACGUGCUUCUUUUACCAACAAUACCAGCCUGAACAGAUGCAGCGUGGCUUUCCUUCCCCAGCUGCUGGGCUCUGCAGUCGCUCUUGGAGCUCGGUCCUGGUUGUGUGGAGUAUUUCUUUUCUGAGGUGAACACAAAAAAUAUAACAGAAAGCAGCCUUUUGUAAGGAGCAUUCCCCAGGAUCAGAGCUCUGAGCGAUGCUUGUGUUACUAGUAUGGAGGCAGAAGGCUGAAAAAAGUUCAACCUUUAAAUGGUUUUGAGGCAAAGUAGGAGGUUUCCCUGCUCUCCUACUGUUUAGGCAUUUCCUAACUGUACUUUCAGAUUGGGUAUCUUUUGAAGGGGAUUUAUUGAUGAAGCUAAAGCUGACUUUGAGAGUGUUUGGUGUGUUUCUCAAAAAAACUCCUUGUAGUUAAAUUUCCCAAACAUCUUUUUUCUACAUUUUCAAAAUGAAUAAAGAGGUUUCAGUUGAAGUCA